rnacentral:tRNA from 1 species
GGAAACGUGCCUGAAAGAUUAAGGACCUCCUUGAUAGGGAGAACAAUAGAGGCUCAAACCCCCUCGUUUCC